GGUGUUGUAUGUUCUGUCGCGGCAAUAAAAAUAUUUAUUGCCGAGGAAAGUCGGGACAACAAAGAGCGCCAUACUUCCUAACAGGAAGGCAGUCUUUUUACUAAGAUUGACAGCGAGUGCCACAGAAAAUUACCGCCCUGUUGUUUUCAAUAGGGUAAGGGUGAAAACGUGAGGUAAGAGCUCACGCUGCGAUGUGGUGACAUAUUGCAGGGGUAAACCUUAUGGGUUGCAAGGUUACAUAUACCGGGGCUUGAGGGCUGCUCGCCCGAUCCCGGGGGGUGAACUGCUAGAGGUACCGGGUGACCGGCAUCCCAGAUAAAUGACAGAAUAUUCGCACUGCGAAGACACAGAAUCCUGCUUACAGUACAACACCACCG
rnacentral:RNase_P_RNA from 1 species